GAGGGGGGUUCAACUAGACUGCUAACCUGGUUCCCCAAAAUUAACCACUUGGCCCCCUCCA
rnacentral:tRNA from 1 species